UACGUAGGGUGCGAGCGUUAAUCGGAAUUACUGGGCGUAAAGCGUGCGCAGGCGGUUUUGUAAGCCAGAUGUGAAAUCCCGGGGCUUAACCUGGGAAUGGCAUUUGGGACUGCAAGGCUUGAGUGCGGCAGAGGAGACUGGAAUUCCUGGUGUAGCAGUGAAAUGCGUAGAUAUCAGGAGGAACACCAGUGGCGAAGGCGGCUUUCUGGGCAUUACCUGACGCUGAGACGCGAAAGCGUGGGGAGCGAACCGG
rnacentral:rRNA from 1 species